rnacentral:rRNA from 1 species
UACGUAGGGUGCAAGCGUUAUUCGGAAUUAUUGGGCGUAAAGGGCGCGUAGGCGGCCUUGUAAGUCUUGGGUGAAAUCCCUCAGCUCAACUGAGGAACUGCCUCGGAUACUGCAGGGCUUGAGGCCGGGAGAGGGUAGUGGAAUUCCCAGUGUAGCGGUGAAAUGCGUAGAUAUUGGGAGGAACACCGGUGGCGAAGGCGGCUACCUGGACCGGUUCUGACGCUGAUGCGCGAAAGCGUGGGUAGCAAACAGG